CCGCUUCCCGUCGUGUUCACAGCGGACCUUGAUUUAAAUGUCCAUACAAUUAAGGCACGCGGUGAAUGCCAAGGGAGGGGGU
rnacentral:pre_miRNA from 1 species